GACGAACGCUGGCGGCGUGCUUAACACAUGCAAGUCGAACGGAAAGGCCCUGCUUUUGUGGGGUGCUCGAGUGGCGAACGGGUGAGCAACACGUGAGUAACCUGCCCUUGACUUUGGGAUAACUUCAGGAAACUGGGGCUAAUACCGGAUAGGAGCUCCUGCUGCAUGGUGGGGGUUGGAAAGUUUCGGCGGUUGGGGAUGGACUCGCGGCUUAUCAGCUUGUUGGUGGGGUAGUGGCUUACCAAGGCUUUGACGGGUAGCCGGCCUGAGAGGGUGACCGGCCACAUUGGGACGGAGAUACGGCCCAGACUCCUACGGGAGGCAGCAGUGGGGAAUAUUGCACAAUGGGCGGAAGCCUGAUGCAGCAACGCCGCGUGCGGGAUGACGGCAUGCGGGUUGUAAACCGCUUUCGCCUGUGACGAAGCGUGAGUGACGGUAAUGGGUAAAGAAGCACCGGCUAACUACGUG
rnacentral:rRNA from 1 species